rnacentral:rRNA from 1 species
CCCUACGUGGUGCAGCAGUGAGGAAUAUUGGUCAAUGGACGAGAGUCUGAACCAGCCAAGUAGCGUGAAGGAUGACUGCCCUAUGGGUUGUAAACUUCUUUUAUAUGGGAAUAAAAUGUUCCACGAGUGGGCUUUUGUAUGUACCAUAUGACUAAGGAUCGGCUAACUCCGUGCCAGCAGCCGCGGUAAUACGGAGGAUCCGAGCGUUAUCCGGCUUGAUUGGGGUUAAGGGGAGCGUAGGUGGAUUGUUAAGUCAGUUGUGAAAGUUUGCGGCUCAACCGUAAAAUUGCAGUUGAAACUGGCAGUCUUGAGUACAGUAGAGGUGGGCGGAAUUCGUGGUGUAGCGGUGAAAUGCUUAGAUAUCACGAAGAACUCCGAUUGCGAAGGCAGCUCACUGGACUGCAACUGACACUGAGGCUCGAAAGUGUGGGUAUCAAACAGGAUUAGAUACCCGAGUAGUC